rnacentral:rRNA from 1 species
CGCCGUAAACGGUGGGCGCUAGUUGUGCGAACCUUCCACGGUUUGUGCGACGCAGCUAACGCAUUAAGCGCCCCGCCUGGGGAGUACGAUCGCAAGAUUAAAACUCAAAGGAAUUGACGGGGCCCCGCACAAGCAGCGGAGCAUGCGGCUUAAUUCGACGCAACGCGAAGAACCUUACCAAGGCUUGACAUAUACAGGAAUACGGCAGAGAUGUCGUAGCCGCAAGGUCUGUAUACAGGUGGUGCAUGGUUGUCGUCAGCUCGUGUCGUGAGAUGUUGGGUUAAGUCCCGCAACGAGCGCAACCCUCGUUCUGUGUUGCCAGCAUUUAGUUGGGGACUCACAGGAGACUGCCGGGGUUAACUCGGAGGAAGGUGGGGAUGACGUCAAAUCAUCAUGCCCCUUAUGUCUUGGGCUGCACGCAUGCUACAAUGGCUGGUACAAACGGCUGCAAUACCGCAAGGUGGAGCGAAUCCGAGAAAGCCAGUCUCAGUUCGGAUUGGGGUCUGCAACUCGACCCCAUGAAGUCGGAGUUGCUAGUAAUCGUAGAUCAGCAACGCUACGGUGAAUACGUUCCCGGGGCUUGUACACACCGCCCGUCACAUCACGA